UUGAAUGCGAGGAAAGAGAAGAGUAGAUAAAUUCCCAUCUUUUAGGGAGGAGAUGUCAUAGACUGGAAGCAUCUCUAAGAUGGUUUUAUUGAAGUUCGCUCUGGAGCAGAUCUCUGAAAAGGAUCAGUAGGAGAAUCCGUUUUGUCUACGUUAAGACACUAAAGUUGAACAAUCAAUCUUGUUUAAUUGUUCAUAAAUUAGGGUGGUACCACGGUCUUUCGUCCCUUGC
rnacentral:ncRNA from 1 species